rnacentral:rRNA from 1 species
UACGUAGGUGGCAAGCGUUACUCGGAAUUACUAGGCGUAAAGCGCAGGUAGGCGGUUGGAUAAGUUUCUUGUGAAAGCUCCCGGCUUAACUGGGAGAGGCCAAGGAAUACUAUCUGACUUGAGUAUGGUAGGGGUAACUGGAAUUCCCGGUGUAGCGGUGAAAUGCGUAGAUAUCGGGAGGAAUACCUAUGGCGAAGGCAGGUUACUGGGCCACAACUGACGCUGAGGCGCGAAAGCUAGGGGAGCAAACAGG